GACGAACGCUGGCGGCGUGCUUAACACAUGCAAGUCGAACGAAGUGGCGAACGGGUGAGUAAUACGUGAGUAACCUGCCCUCCUUUUUGGGAUGAGCCUUGGAAACGGGGUCUAAUACCGAAUAAAGGGGGGUGGGCUCGCGGCCUAUCAGCUUGUUGGUGGGGUGAUGGCCUACCAAGGCGGUGACGGGGAGCCGGCCUGAGAGGGUGACCGUCCACAUUUGGACUGAGAUACGACCCGGACUCCUACGGGAGGCAGCGGUGGGAGAUAUUGCACAAUGGGCGAAAGCCUGAUGCAGCGACGCCGCGGUAAUAC
rnacentral:rRNA from 1 species